GGGAUCUCUGCUCACGCACGCUGCCAGGAAAAAGGCAAUCCACCCAGACCUGAGUGCUGGGGCUCUCAGGAAGAAGGCAAUCCACCCAGACCUGGCUGCGGACAAGGAAGUACCUAUUUGGAUUCCUGAGCGGUUAACCCGACAAGCCCCAGACCCUGAAGACGGCGCUAAAGAAGAUGCCACUGAUACUACUGAUAUGGGGAGCAUUAACACUCCACCUCCAGCCGAUAGCGACCUGUGAAUUGACACCGUUAGAAACAUGGGCUAUUUUACCAAGGC